GGCAACUUGUCCGAGUGGUUAAGGAGAAAGACUUGAAUAAUUCAAACUUGAAAUAUAGCUAUCUUUUGGUCUAUGGCCGCGCAGGUUCGAGUCCUGCAGUUGUCG
rfam:Nadsonia fulvescens var. elongata DSM 6958 unplaced genomic scaffold NADFTscaffold_4, whole genome shotgun sequence.